GUGGGGAAUAUUGCGCAAUGGGGGAAACCCUGACGCAGCAACGCCGCGUGAAGGAUGAAGGUUUUCGGAUUGUAAACUUCUUUGACGAGGGACGAUAAUGACGGUACCUCGAAAACAAGCCACGGCUAACUACGUGCCAGCAGCCGCGGUAAUACGUAGGUGGCAAGCGUUGUCCGGAUUUACUGGGUGUAAAGGGCGAGUAGGCGGGAUGGCAAGUCAGCAGUGAAAUACCGGGGCUUAACCCCGGGGCUGCAUUUGAAACUGCUUAUCUUGAGUGAUGGAGAGGCAGGCGGAAUUCCCGGUGUAGCGGUGGAAUGCGUAGAUAUCGGGAGGAACACCAGUGGCGAAGGCGGCCUGCUGGACAUUAACUGACGCUGAGACGCGAAAGCGUGGGGAGCAAACAGGAUUAGAUACCCGAGUAGUCC
rnacentral:rRNA from 1 species